UCUGCCGCUGGAAUAGCUGCUGUUGGGGGGAAAGGGAAAUGUGCCAGCUACGACAGAACCUCUUUAGCACCUCAUCUGGUGGAAACUUCUGGGAAAUUGGCUUAGAGGCUGCAGCUGAAGUACGGAGUGCAUCAGGCCAACUUUUCCUGUGGAGCAUUAACAAAACACUCUCCUGCUGUAUUUAUAAUGAAAUGGCACUGGGAGAAGCCAGCCCACUCUGUUUUUACCAAAGGAGAGUACACAGAGAGCUGUCUUGAAAGGGAAGUACAAAGCCAUGGUGUGCUUUUCAGGUGUGAGGGUUUGGGACUUCUCACUGCACAGCAACGUUCUGGGCUUCUGCUAUACAGAGCUGCAGUCUGCUGUGAGAAAGAUGGAAGGAGAUGAGCCAGCCUUUCUAGAUACAUUUCAACUGAUGAGAACAGUGCAAACUUCCUGAAUCAGUAGUGCUGCUUGUGAUGUUCAAUAUCUGUGCCUGACCUGGAUGAAGGAAGAACUUCAGCCUUAACAUUUUGUGCAUAAUCAUAUGAGCAAGUCCACAGCUAAUAAUUUGCCUGACCAUCAAUUGCAGAGCUACUGGAAGCUGUAUACAUUCACUGGUUUAUAAAUCAAUAGCACUAUUCAGAUAUUCAUGAGCCAGUGUCCUGCCAGUGGUUUGGCCAAAGCUCCUGCAAGUCAGUGUUUGUGGAUGGUGUGUAGGAUACUUGGCACAGUGCUGUCAAUAAAGAAAAAAGAAAGGCAAGAGAAAGCUGGUACUGUGUUGAUAUCCAGGACCA